GGACCACUUCGACGACGACGAGCUUGACGUCAACUUCUGCGACCCCUGCUGGAGCGAUGACCGCGGCUG
rnacentral:ribozyme from 1 species